rfam:Chloroflexi bacterium RIFOXYD12_FTLL_57_15 rifoxyd3_full_scaffold_5867_curated, whole genome shotgun sequence.
GGUCCUGUGGUGUAGUGGCCUAACAUGCGGCCCUGUCAAGGCCGAGAUCGCGGGUUCGAAUCCCGUCGGGACCG